rnacentral:tRNA from 1 species
GAGAAACCCUGGAAUUAAAAAUGGGCAAUCCUGAGAAAAUCCGUCGAUUUUAGAAAUCGUGAGGGUU